UACGGAGGGUGCAAGCGUUAAUCGGAAUUACUGGGCGUAAAGCGCACGCAGGUGGCUGAGUCAGUCGAUUGUGAAAGCCCUGGGCUUAACCUGGGAAUUGCAGUCGAUACUACUCAGCUAGAGUAUGGGAGAGGGUAGUGGAAUUCCCGGUGUAGCGGUGAAAAUGCGUAGAUAUCAGGAGGAACACCGGUGGCGAAGGCGGCCCUCUGGACGGAUACUGACGUGAGGCGCGAAAGCGUGGGGAUCAAACAGG
rnacentral:rRNA from 1 species